CACGGGGGGAACGCGAAGAACCUUACCACCUUUUGACAUGCCUGGACCGCCACGGAGACGUGGCUUUCCCUUCGGGGACUAGGACACAGGUGCUGCAUGGCUGUCGUCAGCUCGUGUCGUGAGAUGUUGGGUUAAGUCCCGCAACGAGCGCAACCCUCGCCAUUAGUUGCCAUCAUUUAGUUGGGAACUCUAAUGGGACUGCCGGUGCUAAGCCGGAGGAAGGUGGGGAUGACGUCAAGUCCUCAUGGCCCUUACAGGGUGGGCUACACACGUGCUACAAUGGCUACUACAGAGGGUUAAUCCUUAAAAGUAGUCUCAGUUCGGAUUGUCCUCUGCAACUCGAGGGCAUGAAGUUGGAAUCGCUAGUAAUCGCGG
rnacentral:rRNA from 1 species